GAUAAACGCUGGCGGCGUGCCUAACACAUGCAAGUCGAACGAUCCCGCAAGGGAGAGUGGCGGAAGGGUGAGUAACACGUGGGAAUCUACCUCCUCGCAGGGAACAACCUCUCGAAAGAGAGGCUAAUACCCAAAAGGGUCAGAAAUGAUCAGAGUCGAAAGGCGUGAGGAGAGGAGCCCGCGGCCCAUCAGCUAGUUGGUGAGGUAAUGGCUUACCAAGGCUACGACGGGUAGGGGAUCUGAGAGGAUGUCCCCCACACUGGAACUGAAACACGGUCCAGACGCCUACGGGUGGCAGCAGUGAGGAAUAUUGGACAAUGGGCGAAAGCCCGAUCCAGCAACGCCGCGUGGAGGAUGGAAGGCCUUCGGGUCGUAAACUUCUUUAGAGGGAGACGAGAAAGGACGGUAUCCCUAAGAAUAAGCGACGGCAAACUACGUGCCAGCAGCCGCGGUAAU
rnacentral:rRNA from 1 species